UGUCUUUUGGACCAAGUUAUUCAUAUUCUCUAUUGAGAUUGUUGUAUGGACAAAAGUGGAGUGAUGGAGAAGCUUCAACUGCUCUCAGAUACUACUGCUUGUACAUUACAUUUCUGACACUGAAUGGUAAAGUGAAGUAUGGAUGCUAAAGGAAAAUAGCCAAAUGAUAUGGAGAAGAAAAAUAUUGUGGUUGUCUUUGAUAUUAUGGAUUAUGGAAGUUGGCUAUUGUAUUUUAGAUUUUAAAGAUACAAAGUAACAUUGACUUAUUUUCUUUUUGUUAAAAGAUUGGUGUUUUGUUUUAUGUGUAUACUUUUGUGUAAAACAAUUUUGAUAUGAAUGAAAGUUUUUGCUUGAGAA